AGUGAACGCUGGCGGUAGGCCUAACACAUGCAAGUCGAACGGCAGCACAGUAAGAGCUUGCUCUUACGGGUGGCGAGUGGCGGACGGGUGAGGAAUACAUCGGAAUCUACUUUUUCGUGGGGGAUAACGUAGGGAAACUUACGCUAAUACCGCAUACGACCUACGGGUGAAAGCAGGGGAUCUUCGGACCUUGCGCGAUUGAAUGAGCCGAUGUCGGAUUAGCUAGUUGGCGGGGUAAAGGCCCACCAAGGCGACGAUCCGUAGCUGGUCUGAGAGGAUGAUCAGCCACACUGGAACUGAGACACGGUCCAGACUCCGACGGGAGGCAGCAGUGGGGAAUAUUGGACAAGGGGCGCAAGCCUGAUCCAGCCAUACCGCGUGGGUGAAGAAGGCCUUCGGGUUGUAAAGCCCUUUUGUUGGGAAAGAAAAGCAGCAGGUUAAGACCCCGCUGUUCUGACGGUACCCAAAGAAUAAGCACCGGCGAACUUCGU
rnacentral:rRNA from 1 species